rnacentral:rRNA from 1 species
GAUGAACGCUAGCGGCAGGCCUAACACAUGCAAGUCGAGGGGUAGCUUGCUUCAGAUGACGACCUGCGCACGGGUGAGUAACGCGUAUGCAACCUACCUCAAACAGGGGGAUAGCUCAGGGAAACCUGGAUUAAUACCCCAUAAUAUUUAGAUUUGGCAUCAGAUUUAAAUUAAAACUCCGGUGGUUUGAGAUGGGCAUGCGUGACAUUAGCUAGUUGGUAAGGUAAUGGCUUACCAAGGCUACGAUGUCUAGGGGUUCUGAGAGGAUGAUCCCCCACACUGGUACUGAGACACGGACCAGACUCCUACGGGAGGCAGCAGUGAGGAAUAUUGGUCAAUGGGCGCAAGCCUGAACCAGCCAUCCCGCGUGUAGGAAGACUGCCCUAUGGGUUGUAAACUACUUUUAUAAAGGAAGAAACCCUCUACGUGUAAGAGGCUGACUGUACUUUACGAAUAAGCACCGGCUAACUCCGUGCCAGCAGCCGCGGUAAUACGGAGGGUGCGAGCGUUAUCCGGAUUUAUUAGGUUUAAAGGGUGUGCAGGCGGGCCUUUAAGUCAGUGGUGAAAUCCUGCAGCUUAACGGGGGAACUGCCUUUGAUACUGGAUACCUUGAGUGCAGUUGAAGUGGGCGGAAUGUGUGGUGUAGCGGUGAAAUGCAUAGAUAUCACACAGAACACCGAUUGCGAAGGCAGCCCACUAAGCUGCAACUGACGCUGAGGCACGAAAGCGUGGGUAGCGAACAGGAUUAGAUACCCUGGUAGUCCACGCCGUAAACGAUGGUCACUCGCUGUCGGCGAUACACAGUCGGCGGCCGAGCGAAAGUAUUAAGUGACCCACCUGGGGAGUACGCCGGCAACGGUGAAACUCAAAGGAAUUGACGGGGGCCCGCACAAGCGGAGGAACAUGUGGUUUAAUUCGAUGAUACGCGAGGAACCUUACCAGGGCUUAAAUGUAGAGCGACCGCUGCCGAAAGGUGGCUUUCCUUCGGGACGAACUACAAGGUGCUUCAUGGUUGUCGUCAGCUCGUGCCGUUAGGUGUCGGGUUAAGUCCCAUAACGAGCGCAACCCCUAUCGUUAGUUGCUAGCAGGUAAUGCUGAGGACUCUAACGAGACUGCCGGUGUAAACCGCGAGGAAGGUGGGGAUGACGUCAAAUCAGCACGGCCCUUAUGUCCAGGGCGACACACGUGUUACAAUGGCCAGUACAAAGAGCAGCUACAUGGUGACAUGAUGCUAAUCUCCAAAACUGGUCUCAGUUCGGAUUGAAGUCUGCAACUCGACUUCAUGAAGUUGGAUUCGCUAGUAAUCGCGCAUCAGCCAUGGCGCGGUGAAUACGUUCCCGGGCCUUGUACACACCGCCCGUCAAGCCAUGGAAGCUGGGGGUACCUGAAGUCCGUAACCGCAAGGAGCGGCCUAGGGUAAAACUGGUGACUGGGGCU